rnacentral:rRNA from 1 species
GUGGCGAACUGGUGAGURACACGUGGGAAACCUGCCCAGAAGCGGGGGAUAACACCUGGAAACAGAUGCUAAUACCGCAUAACAACUUGGACCGCAUGGUCCGAGUUUGAAAGAUGGCUUCGGCUAUCACUUUUGGAUGGUCCCGCGGCGUAUUAGCUAGAUGGUGRGGUAACGGCUCACCAUGGCAAUGAUACGUAGCCGACCUGAGAGGGUAAUCGGCCACAUUGGGACUGAGACACGGCCCAAACUCCUACGGGAGGCAGCAGUAGGGAAUCUUCCACAAUGGACGAAAGUCUGAUGGAGCAACGCCGCGUGAGUGAAGAAGGGUUUCGGCUCGUAAAACUCUGUUGUUAAAGAAGAACAUAUCUGAGAGUAACUGUUCAGGUAUUGACGGUAUUUAACCAGAAAGCCACGGCUAACUACGUGCCAGCAGCCGCGGUAAUACGUAGGUGGCAAGCGUUGUCCGGAUUUAUUGGGCGUAAAGCGAGCGCAGGCGGUUUUUUAAGUCUGAUGUGAAAGCCUUCGGCUCAACCGAAGAAGUGCAUCGGAAACUGGGAAACUUGAGUGCAGAAGAGGACAGUGGAAACUCCAUGUGUAGCGGUGAAAUGCGUAGAUAUAUGGAAAGAA